rnacentral:rRNA from 1 species
UGUGUCCUACGGGAGGCAGCAGUGAGGAAUAUUGGUCAAUGGGCGGGAGCCUGAACCAGCCAUGCCGCGUGCAGGAAGACGGCUCUAUGAGUUGUAAACUGCUUUUGUACGAGGGUAAACGCAGAUACGUGUAUCUGUCUGAAAGUAUCGUACGAAUAAGGAUCGGCUAACUCCGUGCCAGCAGCCGCGGUAAUACGGAGGAUUCAAGCGUUAUCCGGAUUUAUUGGGUUUAAAGGGUGCGUAGGCGGUCGGAUAGGUUAGGGGUGAAAUCCCGAGGCUCAACUUCGGAAUUGCCUCUGAUACUG